rnacentral:rRNA from 1 species
CCUACGGGUAGCAGCAGUGAGGAAUAUUGGUCAAUGGGCGUAAGCCUGAACCAGCCAAGUCGCGUGAGGGAUGAAGGUUCUAUGGAUCGUAAACCUCUUUUAUAAGGGAAUAAAGUGUGGGACGUGUCCUGUUUUGUAUGUACCUUAUGAAUAAGGAUCAGCUAACUCCGUGCCAGCAGCCGCGGUAAUACGGAGGAUCCGAGCGUUAUCCGGAUUUAUUGGGUUUAAAGGGUGCGUAGACGGCCUUUUAAGUCAGCGGUGAAAGUCUGUGGCUCAACCAUAGAAUUGCAGUUGAAACUGGGAGGCUUGAGUAUGUUUGAGGCAGGCGGAAUGCGUGGUGUAGCGGUGAAAUGCUUAGAUAUCACGCAGAACCCCGAUUGCGAAGGCAGCCUGCCAAGCCAUGACUGACGCUGAUGCACGAAAGCGUGGGGAUCAAACAGGAUUAGAUACCCGGGUAGUC